UUCCUGAAUGUUGGUUUUAGAUGGGAAAUUUACCUUUUAUCAUUAAACUAUAACCAAACUACUGCCAGCCUGAUGGCAGGCAUUUUGCAUGCUCUGAUAUCACCAUGACGCCUGACACACAAGUGUUUGAAGUGCUUUGGUGACAGCAGAGUGUAAUACUGUACAAAACAGUAAUAAACAAAUCGGGAAAAUUAUCAGUCCAACUUUUAGAAUUAGAAUAAAAAAAUGUUUAGGUUGGGAACAUUUUAUCCGGUUAGGACGGACUGGGAACUGGAAACACUUAUUUCAUUUGGCCUGACUUAUAUGUGAAAUGAACUAUAUCAUAUCAAGUAGUAAGUUAGUAUAAAUUUCAUAAAACACGAGUUUCGUUCUUGCAUAGGACUGAGAAUGUCUUAAUUAUAUAAUCUUUCUUGUAUUCCUACAGCUGACAUCAUAUCAACACAAAGUAGAAUGACCACAUCAGAGCCAUCUCAACACUCACAACAGGAAAUGGUUUCAAGUAAUUUAAAGAUGCCAAGGAAUGGACAGGCUACUGGUCCAGAUGGCACCACUUCCUGACCCAGGGCACCACCACUUCCUGACCCAGGGCACCACCCCUUCCAGACCCAAGGUACCACCAAUUCCUGGCCCAGGGCACCACCACUUCCUGGCCAAGGGCACCACCACUUCCUGACCCAGAGCACCACCACUUCCUGACCCAGGGCACCACCACUUCCUGACCCAGGGCACCACCACUUCCUGACCCAGGGCACCAUCACUUUCUGACCCAGGGCACCACCAAUUCCUGACCCAGGGCACCAUCACUUCCUGACCCAGGGCACCACCACUUCCUGACCCAGGGCACCACCCCUUCCAGACCCAGGGCACCACCACUUCUGGCCCAGGGCACCACCACUUCCUGACCCAGGGCACUGCCCCACGUAGGUUUUGAACUCGCAACCCAGAAGUGGAGGGCUAGUGAUAAAGUGUCGGGACACCUUAACCACUCGGCCACCGCAGCCCCUAGGGGCAGGAUGACCUAUAGUCAUCGUGUGUCGUUCGUCGUCUGCAGUGUGUAAACUUUUCACAUUUCAAACUUCUCAAGUUCCAUUGGUGGGAUUGAGCUGAAACUUGCAUGGAAUGAUACCGAAAUGGUCCUGACCAAGGGUUCUUAUAUUUGCAGGGAGGUUCCAAAAUGUUUGUCAAAUGGGGAACAAAAAACAAAGCUGACUUUGCAGCAAAAGAACAGACAGGAUACUGGUGCAGCUGGCACCACUUCUUGACACGGGGCACCACCACUUCCUGACCCAGGGCACCACCAUUUCCUGACCCAGGGCACCACCACUUCCUGGCCCAGUGCACCACCACUUCCUGACCCAGGGCACCACCACUUCCUGACCUGGACCUAGAUGUUAAAAUGGACAUUUUGAAGAAGAGCCAGUCUCUGUCCAAGAAACCAAAAUUAGAGAAAACUCAAGGUAUGUGACCUGGGAAGAAUUUGAAAAACUGAAAAAUGACUUCUUGAAACUGAAGAAGAAAAUGGAGAAGUAAAAAACCUUAGAACCCAUGCAAGUUUCAAGAAAGGCCAGCCAAACACACCACCGUGAACCAACAACACCAACAACACCUAGAACAUCACAGCAGACAGACUCGACAAGGAUAUCCCAAUCAACACCAACACCACAGCAGACUGAUACAACAAAGACAACAGAACAAAUAUCAUCAUCAUCAUCAUCAUUAUCAUCAUCAUCAUCAUCAUCAUCAUCAUCAUCAUCAACAGACAUACAGACAUACAAUGGUCACACAUUGAGUGACUUGAUGGAUAUGGUGUGCCACAAAGAUAAUCUUUAUGCGUGUUGUGCACACCAUAUUACUGGUUCUGUUUCCAGUAAAUUAUAUUGUAUCACACAGUGUGACAGGACAGAGGACAAACAGUCAUUGUGCUGCCAAACCCAAAUUUGAUGGUCGGCUUUACAACAUUUUCCUCGCUGUCUUGGGGUGUAGAGGGGGGGUGUUAUGAGUACAUGUACUUUAAAAAAAAUAAUGCCAUUGAAUUAGAUUUCCAGAGCAAAUAAUGAAGUGAUUUUUAUUGGUAUGUUUUGUCAAAUCUUAUUAUCUAAGAUAUUUUAGAAUUAUACAUGCAUGUCCAUUGUGUAAUUUUAUUGUUUUCAAUCUGUGCUAACAGUUGUAUAUUAUUUUAGAAAGAUCCUUUUUUUCAAGAUGCUACUUUUGCUUUUGAUGUAUGCAUGUACAUUGUACAUAGUUAAUCAUGUGGCCUUACUGUUCUCCAUAAAGGUACUGUAUUGUUUUUUUUAUUAUUAUAAUUGUCAACCAACUCUCAAGUACAUUAGACUUUUUACAACUAUAAGGUUAAACCAGGUCGACCAUGGUUAAUCAUGGUUUGACCAUGGAUAAUUAGACCAUGGUCAAUCGUGGUCAACCAUGGUCACGGUUCGCAGGGGUCAGUCCUUUGUAGUUUGACUUGAAGCAGUUUACAGGUUUAUGAGGAGUUGACUGGAAAAAAUUCCCCCUACACCCAAAAAACAAAGUAUAGUGACCUGGUUACCAUGGUAACCACAAAAUUACAACAUGAUCUAGAUAACGCUCAUCUACAAUGUAUAAAAAACAAAAGAGGUAAACCAUCAUAUUUAUUAUUGGAUACAAUCUCUCAUGUAAGGGAUAUAACUCUGGUCUUGUCCUUUAUUAAAUUAUCUCCCUUUGAUUGUUUCACACUGGUCUGUAAGUGUUGUUCAGUUUCAGACAGAGUUGCUAUAAUUAAGCCAUUUGCUUUUCAAAGUAGACAAGUUGGCAUACAUAUUCCACAAUGUUGUCUCCUUAUUCUGAAAUGUAUUAAGCUGAUUGUACACAUUAGCAUAUUUCAUUUAAGCAUGACUAUGAUGUAAUACUUAUUUCACUUUUUAAUUUUUGUGCUUUUAAUCUGUUGCCUAAAAAGUACAUGUCAAAUUAAACUAAACUUGGUAUAAAUGUAGUUAGAUCACACAGUGAAAAUCUCAACAACACAGCCUUCAUUUAUAGAAUAUCUUCAAGAAUCUAUGGAACAGUGACUCUGGAAAUUAAGAUUGCUGGGAAUCUAGAAAUUUUUGGUUCUUAAUGUGUUCAUAUCCUGAUCAGUUUCUCAAAAAGUAUCAAUGUUACUUCUACCAAACUGGAAUAUAGUAGUUGUAUUGUUGUAUGAACAUCUUGACACACCCUACAUAAUACAUGAAUUUUGGGGUUAAAAAUGAAAUAUUUAUCUGAAUUUUGAGAAUUUGUGAUUUUGUAAUAUUGUCCAAUAUUUAUUUUGCAAUGCAUCAAUAUUUACUCAUGUCUAUGAUAUGUAGAGAGUGCUUCCAUGCUAUGUGGAAAUGUUUUGGAAAAAGUACUGGAAUUUUAGUGAAUUUUGGAGUUUGCCUAAAACUUGACAUUUUAAUUAGCCUCUGUCUUGACACUGCUAUAAUAAUGUGUAAUUUCUUUUGUCUUUGUUGUUUUGUGAAACAUCACUAUCCGUGUAUUUGAUAUUUUUUUAGUUUGGAACUAUUUCAACUGUUUACACUAUAAGACACAUGAUUUUGGAAUUAUAUGUAAAUAUUUAUACAUUUAUUAAUACCAUUGUUAACAUGUU